rnacentral:rRNA from 1 species
CAAUAGCGUAUAUUAACGUUGUUGCAGUUAAAAAGCUCGUAGUUGGAUUUCUGGAGGGAGCGUCGGCCCGUAUUUACGAGUGCGUGACGUCUCUGUCCAUCCUUGCGGGAAGGCACGGCAUUGAUUUGUUGUGUCGGAUCGCAUCAUUUACUGUGAAAAAAUUAGAGUGUUCAAAGCAGGCUUUCGCUUGAAUACAUUAGCAUGGAAUAAUAAGAUAGGACUUUGGUGCUAUUUUGUUGGUUGAGCCUAAAGUAAUGAUUAAUAGGGAUAGUUGGGGGCACCUGUAUUGCGUUGUCAGAGGUGAAAUUCUUGGAUUUACGCAAGACAAACAGCUGCGAAAGCGUCUGCCAAGGAUGCUUUCAUUA